rnacentral:snRNA from 1 species
ACAUGUGCAGGCAAUCUGGAUGCGACAUCUGUCAACCCAUUGAUCACCAGGGGUGAUUUGGCUGAUCUGGCUGGCUAGGCAGGUAUCCCCUUUCUCCCUCACUGCUCCAUGUGCAUCUCUCCUGAAGUUGCAUGCCCAGUGGAGGAGGACGAUGUCUUAUUUUUCCAUUUUUCCAUUAUGCUCACAGUGCAGUUUUGGACCAUUCAGUCUAUUUUAACAUACAAUCUCUAAACAUGGAUGGUUGAGAUGGUU